rnacentral:rRNA from 1 species
UACGUAGGGUGCAAGCGUUGUCCGGAAUUAUUGGGCGUAAAGGGCUCGUAGGCGGUCUGUCACGUCGGGCGUGAAAACUCAGGGCUUAACCCUGAGCCUGCUUCCGAUACGGGCAGACUAGAGGUAUGCAGGGGAGAACGGAAUUCCUGGCGUAGCGGUGAAAUGCGCAGAUAUCAGGAGGAACACCGGUGGCGAAGGCGGUUCUCUGGGCAUUACCUGACGCUGAGGAGCGAAAGUGUGGGGAGCGAACAGG